rnacentral:lncRNA from 1 species
AUGGAAUAUAGGAGUCGGACGAGCUGGAGCGCAGGAGCUGGACGAGGGUUCAGGGAGCAGGCGGGGCGGGAGGAGCGCGGGGAGGAUCCAGGGAGGAGCUCAAGGAGGAGCCCGGGAGGAGCUGGGGAGGAGCUGGGGAGAAACGCGGGGAGGAGCGCGAGGCGGAGCCCCGGAGGAGGGCGCACCUGGGACGCACGUCGGGGAGGGACGCGCGGAAGGACUGUCCCGGCCGAGCCCUCCCCUCUGCGUGGCCCGCCCCGGCCAGGGCUGGAAGCCGGAAGCAGGCGCAGGAGAACGACUCGGGACUCAGCCGAGGGGAUCCCUGGGGCGCGCCCUCGCUGCGCCCCCAGCCAGGGCGCGAGCCCUCCGCGAAGGGCCGGGGCCAUGGGGGCUCCGCGCCGCUGGGCGCGCGUGUUUCCCGGGCCCCCGCCGGGGCCGUCGCUCCUACUCUUCCUCCUGCUCCUGCGCCCGCCGGGCCUCGGUCUCGCCUCCCUGAGGCUCUUGGACCACCCGGCGCCCGUGUGCUCCCAGGAGGGGCUGAACUGCACAGUCAAGAACAGUACCUGCCUGGACGACAGCUGGAUCCACCCUCGGAACCUCACCCCCUCAUCCCCCAAAAACGUGCAGACCCAGCUGCGCUUCGCCCACACACAGCAAGGACACUUGCUUCCCGUGGUUCACAUCGAGUGGACGCUGCAGACAGAUGCCAGCGUCCUCUACCUGGAGGGGGCGGAGCUGUCCAUCCUGCAGCUGAGCACCAAUGAGCGUCUGUGUGUCAGGUUUGAGUUUCUGACCACACUGAGGCAUCAUCACAAGCGGUGGCGAUUUGCCUUCAGCCACUUUGUGGUAGAACCCAGAGAGGAGUACGAGGUGACCGUCCACCACCUGCCUAAGCCCAUCCCUGACGGGGACCCAAACCACCAAUCCAGAAACUUCCUGGUGCCCGACUGCAAGGACCCCAGGAUGAAGGACACCACGCCAUGCGUGAGCUCAGGCAGCCUGUGGGACCCCAACAUCACCGUGGAGACCCUUGAGGCCCACCAGCUGCGGCUGAGCUUCACCCCAUGGAAUGAGUCCACCAGUUACCAGGUCCUGCUGCACAGCUUCCCGCCUGCAGAGAACCAGAGCUGCUUCCAACAUGUUGUCGACAUGCCCGUGAUCCAGCCCUUCUUCAGCAGCUGCCUCAACGACUGCCUCCGACACUCGGUGUCCGUGGCCUGCCCGGAGGUCUCACACACCCCAGACGCCGCUGAAGACCACACGCCUCUGUGGGUGUCUGCGUUCAUCACAGGCCUCUCCAUCCUACUGGUGGGCUCCGUCAUCCUGCUGAUCCUCUGCAUGACCUGGAGGCUACCAGGGUUCCGUCAAGGAAAACAUGAAGAUGGCACCAAAGACACAGAGAUCCUGCCCGCUGCCACCAGCCUGACCCCCCCGCCCCUGAAGCCCAGGAAGGUCUGGAUCGUCUACUCCGCCGACCACCCCCUCUACGUGGACGUGGUCCUCAAGUUCGCCCAAUUUCUGCUCACCGUGUGUGGCACCGAAGUGGCCCUGGACCUGCUGGAGGAGCAGGCCAUCUCAGAGGUAGGGGUCAUGACCUGGGUGGGGCGCCAGAAGCAGGAAGUGGCAGACAGCAACUCCAAGAUCGUCGUCCUGUGCUCCCGAGGCACCCGGGCCAAGUGGCAGGCGAUGCUUGGCUGGGAGGACGCCGCCGCCGUGCAGCUCCGCUGCGACCGCGGGCAGCCGGCGGGGGACCUGUUCACGGCGGCCAUGAACAUGAUCCUGCCGGACUUCAAGAGGCCGGCCUGCUUCGGCACCUACAUCGUCUGCUACUUCAGCGACAUCAGCUGCGAGACGGACGUGCCCGACCUGUUCAACAUCACCUCCCGCUAUGAGCUCAUGGACCGGUUCGAGGAGGUCUACUUCCGCAUCCAGGACCUGGAGAUGUUCGAGCCGGGCCGCAUGCACCGCGUGGGGGCGCUCGCGGCCCAGAACUACCUGCAGAGCCCCAGCGGCCGGCAGCUCUGCGAGGCAGUGCAGCGCUUCCGUCGCUGGCAGGCCGAGCGCCCGGACUGGUUCGAACUGGAGAACCUCCGCUCGAUGGACGGCCUGGACCUCCCGUCCCUGGACGAGGCGGCCUUCGAGGAGGAGCCGCUGCCCGAAGGAAGGAUCGUCCGGCAGGAGCCGCUGAUACGGGAGCCCACCUCCCGGGACCACGUGCUGGUGAAGCUGCUCCUCGCCGGGGAAGGAGGGGGCGGCCUGGCGCGGCUGGAGCCCCAGCCCCGGCCCCCGGGGCAGCCGGCAGCCCCAACGCUCCAGACCAUGGUGGUCCCGGUGGACAGGGUCCCUCGGGCUCAGGUGGUGGAGCCCGUCCCACAGGAGGUGGGGAGCGGCGCGGGCCGGCUGGCCCUGCUGGAGGGAGAAGAGGCCUGCCCGCUGUUGGGGGGCCAGGGUCCCCGGCGGAACAGCGUCCUCUUCCUCCCCGUGGGGCGGCUCCCGCCCCCCAAGCAGAACCCGAGCCUCCAGGACCUGCUCACGCCCCCCGAGGAGGAGCAGCGGCGGUCUGUGCAGUCGGACCAGGGCUACAUCUCCAGGAGCUCCCCGCAGCCCCCCGACGACGACGACGACAACGGAGAGGGGGUCGGGGAGGAGGACGGGGGACAGCCGCUGUCCCCCCAGGGCCUGGAGAGCCUGCGCAGCCUCCAGCUGCUGCUCUUUUUCCAGGAGCUUAGCAAGAACCCCGGCCUUGAGCCCGAGGGGCCGCCAUGCGAGGCCCUCCCCCAGCUGGGGCGGUGA